GAAAUGCGAUAAGUAAUGUGAAUUGCAGAAUUCAGUGAAUCAUCGAAUCUUUGAACGCACAUUGCGCCCGCCGGCAUCCCGGCGGGCAUGCCUGUUCGAGCGUCAUUACAACCCUCAGGCCCGGCCUGGCGUUGGGGUCCUGCGCUGCAGGCUCCGAAAGACAGCGGCGGGUGCGUCCCACGACCGAACGCAGUAGUUACCUCUCGUUCUGGGCGCGGGCGCACGCCGGCCGGAAAACAACCCACCUUCUCAGGUUGACCUCGGAUCAGGUAGGAAUACCCGCUGAACUUAA
rnacentral:misc_RNA from 1 species